rnacentral:lncRNA from 1 species
AUGAAUUUCCUGCGGGGCGACGUGGCCCGGCUGCGGCGCGCGGCCAACGAGGCCUCGGGGGCCACCGGGGCCACCCCUGGGGCCACCAACGUCACCUCGGGGGCCACCAACGUCACUGGGGCUACCAAUGAGACUUCUGGGGCCGCCAACGUCACUGGGGCUACCAAUGAGACCUCUGGGGCCACCAACGUCACUGGGGCCACCAACGUCACCUCGGGGGCCACCAACAUCACUGGGGCUACCAAUGAGACUUCUGGGGCCACCAACGUCACUGGGGCCACCAAUGAGACUUCUGGGGCCACCAAUGUCACUGGGGCCACCAACGAGGCUUUGGAGGCCACCAAUGAGAUCUUGAGGGCCACCAACAUCACCAGGGCCACCAACGAGGCCUCUUGGGCCACCAAGGGCACCCCCGGGGCCACCAAGGCGAUGGAAUCGUGGGGAAAGUCAACGGGAGCCAACCGGAACUCAACGGAACCCUUGGAGAACCCAACGGAACCUUCAGAGAACCCAAUGGAAUCCAAGGAGAACCCAAUGGAACCCACGGAGAACCCAACGGAACCCUUGGAGAACUCAACGGAACCUUUGGAGAACCCAAUGGAAUCCAAGGAGAACCCAACGGAAUCCAAGGAGAACCCAAUGGAACCUUCAGAGAACCCAAUGGAACCUUUGGAGAACCCAACAGAACCCAUGGAGAACCCAACGGAAUCCAAGGAGAACCCAAUGGAACCCUUGGAGAACUCAACGGAACCCUUGGAGAAUCCACCCAGACCCAACCAGAACCCAACCAAACCCCACCAGAACCCAAUGGAACCCAACCAGAACCCAACCAAACCCCACCAGAACCCACCAGAACCUCGGAACCCAUCCAAACCCCACCAGAACCCAAUGGAAUCCCACCAGAACCCACCAGAACCCCGCCAGACCCCACCAGAACCCCACCAGAACCCACCCAGAACCCACCAGAACCCAACCAACGCUCAGAACCCACCGGAACCCAACCA